rnacentral:tRNA from 1 species
GAGAGUAUAGCUCAAGUGGUAGAGUACAUGCUUAGUAUGCCUGAGGUCUUGGGUUCAAUCCUCAAUAUUGCCU